rnacentral:antisense_RNA from 1 species
GAUAACCGAAGAUCACAGCGGGGUUCAAAGUGGGGUUAGUAAUCACGCGGACAUCACCACCACCAGGCGCCCAAGUGUCGUAGACGCCGCCAAAGAACAUGGCUUUGAACACCAAAAGCAGCGCACCGCAUCCGAGCAGGAUCAGGUGAUAGCCGAUGAUGUUGGUCAUCUGGUUCUUGUCUUUCCA